rnacentral:RNase_P_RNA from 1 species
UCAGGCGGCCGGACGGCUGCGGGGAGCGAUCCCUGAGGAAAGUCCGGGCUCCAGGAAGACAGGGCGCCGGGUAACGCCCGGCCAGCGUGAGCUGAGGGAUAGCGCCACAGAGAUCGAACCGCCCGGCGUGACCUCCGCAAGGAGGCGAAGCCGGGUAAGGGUGAAAAGGUGCGGUAAGAGCGCACCGCUGCGCCGGUAACGGAGCAGGCAUGGCAAGCCCCGCCCGGAGCAAUGCCGAAUAGGGACCGCGCGCCUGUCGCAAGGCGGGCAGGGGCGUCACCCCCCGAGCGGUCCGGGUUGGCAGCUGGAGGCGCGGCGCAAGCCGCGUCCAAGAGGAAUGGCCGUCCCUCCGCAAGGAGGACAGAACCCGGCUUACAGGCCGCCUGACGCG